rnacentral:rRNA from 1 species
UCCCACAGGCCGUAAACCCAAGGUUUCCAGGGGAAGGUUCGUCCGCCCUGGGUUAGUCGGGACCUAAGCUGAGGCCGAAAGGCGUAGGUGAUGGACAACAGGUGGAUAUUCCUGUACUACCGAUAACUGUUUGAGAGAAGGGAUGACACAGUAGGAUAAGCUAAGCACACUGUUGGUUAUGUGUGCCCAAGCAUUGAGGCAGUCAAAGUAGGCAAAUCCGCUUUGAUAAUG